AGGAUUUUUAACGUGAUGAAAUAACAAUGCAACAUAGAGUCAAGCUCUGAGCUUAUAUAGCAUGGACGAGACUUGCUUUUUACAAACGUACUGAUCAAAUUUCC
rfam:Kluyveromyces lactis strain NRRL Y-1140 chromosome E complete sequence.